rnacentral:lncRNA from 1 species
GGCGAUUUGGCGCGCCAAAAAAGCGCAGAGACGCUGCCGCCAUAAAACAAGAAGACCAAGAGAGGAGAGAGGGCAAAAGACGAACCCUGGCCCGAAAUAAAUGUAUGCACGACCGCCAAAGAAAGAAAAAGAGAGAGAAUAAUGGGAAGGCGCACACGCCUGUCGGUUCACACGCAACGUCCAAAGAGGGAGAAAAAGUCAACGCGGAUCUUUUCGUGUUUUUUCUCCCUACAAAAAAAGGAGCCGAAAGGGUAGGCGCGACGUGUCGCAAAAAAAAUCUGCGCAGGGGAGGGGCAUGCGAGAGGGCACACGCCGGGUCAGGGUGCGAGAACGGCCGCGGGUGCCAAGGCCGCGCAAGCGCCGCCAAAGGUGGCAAGGUCGCUGGGCGCCACGGGCACACCAAAGCGCACGGCCAACAAUGCCAGACGGGCCUUGUCCAACAACGCAGGUCCCGCGCGCUCGUGCUGUCGGCCAUAGGCAUCGGCUCGCGCGACGAGAUCGACGACCGCUUCCAUGUCUUCAUCCAUCUGUGUGGGCUCCUUGGGCCGCGUGUCUUGGAUCUCUUGGUAGGCGCGUGCAACGGCUUCUUCUGGCGUCAAGGUGUCCGCGUCACCUUGCGUGGCAUCGGCCACAGCGUCGCAUGCCCUCUUCCAUGCCUCGCGCUCGUCCUCGCUCAUGUCUGGCUGUCCGAACGAGGGCGGCCAGCGAACCUCGACGGACGGCGGCUCCCAUUUGCCAGAGAGCCGCUGCGCGGCGUACCCUAUGGCCGCGGGCGCCAGCGACGCACACAAGAGAUCGGGGCGGGCGCGCUCGGCCGCGUUGGGUUGUACGCCCCAAAAGGUCGCUACGUCGUAGAGACGGUCGCCCCCCACGAGACGCCCGACGCCGUCGCGCUCUGCCGUCUCUGCGCCGCAGGUGUGUUGCCACAAGUCCAACGCCAAGGGUUGGGCGAGUUCAAUGGGCAGCGCCGAGAGAUCAAAGCGCGCUUGAGGAGCGCCGAGGAUGGCGCUCUGCGCAAUGGCGGCGAGCGAUGGUACGCCAAGGACGGGUCGGGGCAGCGCAAACAGGUUUUCGUCCUCUUCCUCCUCGAAUGGCCACACCCUAGCGGGGCCGCCGCCUUGCCUGGCUUGUUUGGGCCGUUUCUGUUGUUGUUGUGCUUGUUCAUCGUAGGCAGCCGCGACCGUUUCACUGGGCGACGUACCGGGUGUGCUCUCCAGACCGGCAGCGCCAUGGGCGCGCGUCGCCAUCAAGAGAGGAAGGGCGCGAGCGACCGUCUCGGCGCCUCUAUGCUGCGCCAGGACGAGGGCCAGGGUGCACGCAUCGAGCCACACGACACGCACAUCUGCAGGAGCGCCAAAGUCGACCAGGUAUCGGUACGAGAGCGGCGACACGGCGUUCAAGAGCGCCGGCGGUAGGUCGGCCCACGAGGGGACGAGCACCAUGGCGUCCUCUAACGCAGUGAUGGCAUCGUCCUUGGGCGUGUCGUAGACCAAAGUCGAGAGCAGGUCGGGCAGUGCCGCUGCGUAGGGGAGCGCCACGAGAGGGAGCGCGCCCACAUCAACCCCUGUCGCCUCGUCGAGAUCGCGCGAGGCCACCAGUUGGGCGUUGGCGCCGUCCUGCGACACCGCCGCCAGAUGCGCAGCGAUGUCAGCCGGAGCCGAUUCGACGAGCAACGCAUAGAUCGUGUUGUUCGCGCUGGGCGUGCAGUGGGGAUCGGCUUCGCGAGGCCAGUCGCCCAGUGCGCGGCGUAUCGACGCCGAUGCGGCAACGGGCGCCGAGACCAUGCGCGCAGCCCACUGGCGCGUGCGCCGCCGGUACAAGGCGCCGAUGGCAGAGACGAGACGCGCGAGCCCGACUCCGGUUUCGGUCGCCUGUCCAAUGAGACUGUAGGCGGCGAGGCGGGCCACGGGGGUGCCCACUAGGCUCUCGUAAAUAUCGACGACGCUCUCCACAUCAGGCGGCCAUGCGUUUUCCAGUGUUUCACGCUGCAAGACGAGUGCGCGCUUGACGGCCGUGGACGCCCACGGAUCGUCAUCGAGCGCGCGCCACAUCGACGCAUAAGCGCCCAGAAGAGCGCACGCAAUGGAGCGGCCGUUCCGUUGUUCGAAUGCGAUUUCAUUGACAAGACUGCGCUCAUUGAGGCGGGAUAGGAGCACGCGCAAGGCCGAAUCCUGUUCGCCGCCUUGACCAGAGACCUCACAGGCAGACGUCAGUACCGGCACAUAGUCGGCGGCACGAGGCACCAAGACCCUGUUUGGCCACGAGCGCACGUCGAGUUCUGGCGGAAAGGCAUCGACCGGCACGAGCACGACCAUAUCGGUGGUUGUCGCCGUCGCCAGGCCGGUGGAACCGCUGCCGCCGCUGGAGUACGCGGUCGACUCCAUGCCGGCUGAGACCUCUUUUUUUCCGCGCUGCUUUUUGUUUGGCGUGUCUCUUCUUUUUCCUUCCCGACUUUUUUUGUGCACGGGGGCGUCACAAGAAUCUUUUGUGGGACGCCGUGAUUUUUUUUGCCUCUACUCGCCUCGCUUUCACUGGCUGGCCACACCUACCUACGGGCCAUGGCGCGCGUCGCCCGCGCACUGGGACUUUGCCACCCACAAAAAGGGCAAGAGGGAGAAACGGCCGGAGCAGGCAAAAAAGGCAACGCCAGAAAAAAGGCCACCCGGAUGGGAGAUUCUAUUUGCCCGUGCACCGACCCCUCGCCCAGUCCGGGCUUUUUUCUCUUUUUUUUUCCAGAGACGCAAGCACUUUAUAAACCUCUCUUCUUUUUUUCUUUCAUUUUUUUCUUUCCGUGUGUACACGGGUCUUUUCGCCGCC